rnacentral:rRNA from 1 species
GACGAACUGUGCAAACGUUAUUCGGAAUCACUGGGCUUAAAGCGUGUGUAGGUGGAUGACUAAGUACCUUGUGAAAUCCCACGGCUCAACCGUGGAACUGCUUGGUAUACUGGUUGUCUUGAGGCACUCAGGGGCGAGCGGAACAGAUGGUGGAGCGGUGAAAUGCGUAGAUAUCAUCUGGAACGCCAAUGGUGAAGACAGCUCGCUGGGGGUGUACUGACACUGAGACACGAAAGCCAGGGGAGCAAACGGG